CAGUAGCCGCGGUAAUACGGAGGGGGCUAGCGUUGUUCGGAAUUACUGGGCGUAAAGCGCACGUAGGCGGCUUUGUAAGUCAGAGGUGAAAGCCCGGGGCUCAACCCCGGAAUUGCCUUUGAGACUGCAUCGCUUGAAUCCAGGAGAGGUGAGUGGAAUUCCGAGUGUAGAGGUGAAAUUCGUAGAUAUUCGGGAGAACACCAGUGGCGAAGGCGGCUCACUGGCUCAUACUGGACGCUGAGGUGCGAAAGCGUGGGGAGCAAACAGGAUUAGAGACCCCAGUAGUCCCUGUCUCUUAUAA
rnacentral:rRNA from 1 species